rnacentral:rRNA from 1 species
CCUACGGGUGGCAGCAGUGAGGAAUAUUGGUCAAUGGCCGCAAGGCUGAACCAGCCAAGUCGCGUGUGGGACGACUGCCCUCUGGGUUGUAAACCUCUUUUAUAAGGGAAGAAUAAAUGCUACGUGUAGCAUGAUGACUGUACCUUAUGAAUAAGCAUCGGAUAAAUCCGUUCCAGCACCCGCGGUACUACGGGGGAUGCGAGCGUUCUCCGGAUUUAUUGUGUUUAAAGGGUGCGUAGGCGGUUUUUUAAGUUAGUGUUUAAACGUCGGGGCUUCACCUUGAUUUGCCAUUAAUACUGUAAGACUCGAGUUCAGACGAGGUAGGCAGAAUAAGUGAAGUAGCGGUGAAAUGCUUAGAUAUAACUUAGAACUCCGAUAGCGAAGGCAGCUUACCAGACGGCGACUGACGCUGAAGCACGAGAGCGUGGGUAGCGAACAGGAUUAGAUACCCGAGUAGUC